rnacentral:rRNA from 1 species
UACAGAGGGGGCAAGCGUUGUUCGGAAUUACUGGGCGUAAAGGGCGCGUAGGCGGCCUUCUAAGUCAGACGUGAAAUCCCCAGGCUUAACUUGGGAACUGCGUCUGAUACUGGAUGGCUUGAGUGCGGGAGAGGGAUGUGGAAUUCCAGGUGUAGCGGUGAAAUGCGUAGAUAUCGGGAGGAACACCAGUGGCGAAGGCGACUUCCUGGCCUGUUCUUGACGCUGAGGCGCGAAAGCUAGGGUAGCAAACGGG